rnacentral:misc_RNA from 1 species
AUGCGAUAAUUAAUGUGAAUUGCAGAAUUCAGUGAAUCAUCGAGUCUUUGAACGCACAUUGCACCCCCUGGUAUUCCGGGGGGUAUGCCUGUCCGAGCGUCAUUGCUGCCCUCAAGCACGGCUUGUGUGUUGGGUCGUCGUCCCCCCGGGGACGGGCCCGAAAGGCAGCGGCGGCACCGCGUCCGGUCCUCGAGCGUAUGGGGCUUUGUCACACCGCUCUUGUAGGCCCGGCCGGCUGCUGGCCGACGCUGAAAAGCAACCAACUAUUUCUCCAGGUUGACCUCGGAUCAGGUAGGGAUACCCGCUGAACUUAA